CAUUUCCCACUUAGGCUGCUAUUUCCAGGGAAUGAUUAUUUGAUUGUAACAUUUGUUCCAGGCAGCAACGGGCCAAGGAGAGGUCUUAGCUCAAAAGCACCUUCCACCUACUUAAAAGCAACAGCCACCACAGCGUACUCAAUUUAAAAUGAUGGAAAUCAACAACAAAAACCUCAGAUAUUUUGAGUUCUGGAGGACAGAAAGGGUUGUUUUGACAAUGGCGUGAAGUUUAUGACUGCGGGUCAUCAAGAGUUCAUUGUCUGGCAUUCUGGCAUGGGCAUGAUUGAAGGAGCUGCCAAAACAUCACUGAGCACAAAUGUGAGCCAGGUGCCUCCUCUGGGGAGGACCGUUUUGUAGGUGUUGCCUCCUCCUUGCCUUUUCUCUUCCUCUCCUGUCUCCUCUCUUCACAGCUGGAAGAUGGAAUAAGUGGAGACAGGAGGUCUCAAUCAGCUCUCUCCUUUUUGGGAGUUUGCACACUGAGGAGAGCAGGGUUGGCAGCAGCAAGAGAGAGAAAGCCUGAUCAAGACCAAGGUAAAGAAAUCAAAAGUUGGUGCCUCCACAUUGUCUUGCCCAUCCUACCUGUUGAAGUGUCCCUGGACCACAGGGUGGCAGAACGUCUCAUCCUGAAAAUGUUUGCUGACCUCUGACAGAUGAUAAGUGGUGGAAUCAGGAGUGAAAUAAUGCACCUGUCUAUGGAUGCCUCAAUCUAGGGUUACAUCAGGAACAUGCCUUCUCUAAAUGAAAAAAGCAAUGGUGGCAGCAGACAGCAAAA
rnacentral:lncRNA from 1 species